rnacentral:lncRNA from 10 species
CACAGCUUCAUUUACAUGAGAACUUGAAGAUUUUUAGUGUUAUGCCUACUCUGCCAAUUCUUGGAACAUUUGCGGAACUGAGAAUUUACUUCUUCGUUUAUUACUUCCUAACUACAUUUUAAAGACUCAUUUGUUCUAGAUUCAGAUCAUUCAACAAAACAUGGCAUGAUUUCCACAGUCUCUGACAUUCUGAUUGCAUUGCUUGAGAAAAUUCUCAGUCUGGGAAUCUCCUUAAAAUGCAGCACAGAUGAUGGCUGAAUAGGAACAGCUCCGGUCUGCAGCUCCCAGCGAGAUCAACGCAGAAGGCGGGUGAUUUCUGCAUUUCCAACUGAGGGUGUAACACUGUGACCAACGAAGAGAGUGUUUUCUAUCAGUGACUCGCAGACUUCCCUUUCACUGGAAUCCAGCUUAUUAGCUGCAUGGUUAACUUUGGAGCCAGGAAAACAUCCUGCACAUGACACUGCCAUCAAGCAGAGGAGACAUGUUUCUCGGCUUCCCCUCUCUGGGACUUAAUAGCCUCUGAAGGCUAGCCUUUACUGACUCAUGAAGCUGUGUCUGCCUGGGGUCAGUGGUGGAGACAUUGCGUUAACCCCAGCAAGCGAGCCAUCACCAGAGCUUUGCACAGGGAGACACCACAUAGAAAGGCAGAUGAGGCAACACACACACCAUCCCCAGACAGCCAUGGGUCCCCAGAGACAGGAAAAAUAUGUGUUUUCUUAAAGAAUUAGAAAAGAAAACCUUGCUUUUUCCUGUGUGGCUCAUUGGUAGGAGAUCUCAAAUUCUAACCCUUGUUUUCUCUUUUACCUCUCUGUCUGCUAAAAAGCACUCCUUAGAUCCAGUAUCUAGCAUGGUGAGCCUCCUGGAUGCAGUGCUGCAGUGGCCACUGCUGGGUCAAAAACAAACACUGGGAAAGGAGGAAAAUGAUGUUUUUCUCUCUUUCAAUAAAGCAUUUGAAAUCUCUAGUUCUGUUUUCUCCUUUCUCUCUCUGGUGUCCCAUGUAUGCAGUGAUGAGAAA